GCGUGGUCAUGCGGGAGAAAGAGGAGAAAGAGUACCGGCACUGGCUGAGGAAAAAUGGGAGUGAGGAGAGAAGCGAGGGGGGGAUGACUGGGUAGGAAUCGGUAAAAAUCGCAUGAAAAGGGGGAAAAAACCCAGAAGAAAUGGAACCUCACUUCUUCCUCUUCUGUGGUGACCAUCUCAUUCAUCUAUUGAGCCUCUGAAGCGAACCACUCCGAAGAUGUAAUUUUGUAUGAGGAAUGCGGCGGUCAAGCAGAGACGCGCCCACCGGCGCGACCAGCCAUGGGAAAGUCCGUGAAAGAUGGACGCUGCUCGCCAGUUGGGGACACAAAAUGGCGGACUGCGGCAGCGACUUUUCUCUCUCGGACCGAUUUUCUUCAAAUCUGUGCCCCGCGCCGGCGCUUCUCCAGAGCCGCAGCGUGCUUCCUUGUCCCUGAGACCCUUAACCUGUGAUGAUGUGAACGCUCACAGGUGAGGUCCUUGGGAACAAAGACGCACGCAAAAAUAAGGUGUAUCCAAAAUGGAAAAAUAAGUUUCCAGAAGAAGCGGGAGAGACGGCUGUCGGAUGUCCACUAGGGGGCGGUAACUUCCAACACAAAUGUGCUUUUUCACUUACAUGUAAAUGACAUGUAAACUCAAUGUCAACUGUCAAAGCAAUGCCACUCUUCAGUAAUGUGGCAAAGCUUUAGUGGCAAACGUAUUUCAGGUGAAGUCACGUAGAAUCAAGCUAAGAGGUCCGAAAUGGUCCUCUCUGUGACUUGGACGACAGGAGCAAAGAAUUUCAAGUCCUGAAUCACAUAACAAUGUCAAGUAUGAAAGGUACACAUUCUUCACUUUCACUUACGCAAUUUGCGUUCAUCGGUCCGUCAUUCCUAUUUAUGAAUAUCAGCUACGGAAAUAAGAAACAAAGCUGAGAUCUUGAAUAUUAAGCAAGAGGAACGAGGUAGCUACUUUGCACUUUUUGGACAGUCGUGUGUAUGCUUCACUGUCAUUUGUCUUGCUCUAGAAACGUAUGUCUUACUUAGUUUUCACGGUGUAAAAUGACCGCACGCGGUGUCUGAUGCUACCAAUCUGCAAAUAAAUUGAAGCGCCCGUC